rnacentral:rRNA from 1 species
GAUGAACGCUGGCGGCGUGCUUAACACAUGCAAGUCGAACGGAAAGGCCACAGCUUGCUGUGGUACUCGAGUGGCGAACGGGUGAGUAACACGUGGGUGAUCUGCCCUGUACUUCGGGAUAAGCUUGGGAAACUGGGUCUAAUACCGGAUAGGAAUCACAUGUGGGUGUGUGGUUGGAAAGCUUUUGCGGUAUGGGAUGAGCUCGCGGCCUAUCAGCUUGUUGGUGGGGUAAUGGCCUACCAAGGCGUCGACGGGUAGCCGGCCUGGGAGGGUGGACGGGCACAUUGGGACUGAGAUACGGCCCAGACUCCUACGGGAGGCAGCAGGGGGGAAUAUUGCACAAUGGGCGCAAGCCUGAUGCAGCGACGCCGCGUGGGGGAUGACGGCCUUCGGGUUGUAAACUCCUUUCGUCAGGGACGAAGCGAAAGUGACGGUACCUGGAUAAGAAGCACCGGCUAACUACGUG